GAUGAACGCUGGCGGCGUGCCUAAUACAUGCAAGUCGAGCGAACAGACGAGGAGCUUGCUCCUCUGACGUUAGCGGCGGACGGGUGAGUAACACGUGGAUAACCUACCUAUAAGACUGGGAUAACUUCGGGAAACCGGAGCUAAUACCGGAUAAUAUAUUGAACCGCAUGGUUCAAUAGUGAAAGACGGUUUUGCUGUCACUUAUAGAUGGAUCCGCGCCGCAUUAGCUAGUUGGUAAGGUAACGGCUUACCAAGGCAACGAUGCGUAGCCGACCUGAGAGGGUGAUCGGCCACACUGGAACUGAGACACGGUCCAGACUCCUACGGGAGGCAGCAGUAGGGAAUCUUCCGCAAUGGGCGAAAGCUUGACGGGGCAACGCCGCGUUAGUUAUUAAGGUCUUCGGAUCGUAAAACUCUGUUAAUAGGGAAGAACAAAUGUGUAAGUAACUAUGCACGUCUUGACGGUACCUAAUCAGAAAGCCACGGCUAACUACGUG
rnacentral:rRNA from 1 species